UGGGAUGAUGAAGGCUUGGGUCCCAGAAAAGCUGCAGUUUUUCAUCCAUGUAUACUGAAAGAGAUUUAAACUAUAUGUAAAUGACAGAGAUGUUGUAGCAGCCAUUGUACUAAACAACCAAGCCUACAGAUUGAAGCCUUCCCAUUACCUCAAUAGCUUAAAAUCCCUGCAUUGGCUCCCAAUAAAUUACAGGAUUUACCUUAAAGCACAUGUUCAUCAUUCACUAAAUGGGAUGAGGAUCAUCCAUACAAACUGCGCAGUCAGGUGCUUCUCAGUCGGACAGUGCCUAAAUGGAAUCACACCAGGGUUUAUUUAUCAGAUAAAAACAGCCAGAAGUAAAUGCCUUUAUUUCCUUGUAGCCUAUGAACCUACUAUCCUUUUGCUUUUAUUUAUGAGAAGCACAUACAGUAUUGCCACUGUAUGGAGGGCUACACUUGCCCUUAUCUACAGCUGGUUUACCAGUACACAACUUUUAAAACUGAGCAAAGUCGAUGGCAACAGACGGUUACAACAUCAAUCAAUAGUAAAGUGUAGACAUGGCAAAAAAUAUGUGAUAUGAUGGUUGAUUCUCUUAUAUUGAGUCAAACUUUCUCACCGUUCAAAACUUUUGCGUUGAGGUCCGACAUGGUCAUGCGCAUCACUAGUAUACAAUGAGUCACCAUACGUCACCAACUGGGCAACUCUGUUAACUAAAUUUGGCCCCAGUUGCCGAACGGAAGUAGAAUCAUAACAGCGUCAUGAGGUGGCGUUCACGUGAACUUUCCGACGUCGCGAAAAGGUUUUUCCCAUAAUUCCCAGCGAUGUGAACGCACGUGUAGACUGUGUGAGGAAGCUAUGACGCGCCGCCACACAUUGUGGCGGCGCGUCAUCAGCAGAAUCUCCCGAAAAUUAAUUAAUGACUAUAUCUAUUUCUGCAUUUGUUGUGUUGUUUGUGUAUCUGACCAGCUUCAAUAAAACAGCAAUGAGCAUUGGUUGGCAAAACUAUUUGGAGUUUGUGUGCAUAAUAAAAAAAUAAGACAUAGGCUAGCCUACAUUUUAUGACAUAAUAUCAGUUUAACAUUUAACACCGUAGGCCUAACCGAAGUCGAAGGGUCUGUAAAUGGACAAGCAACAAAAUAGUUCUUUUUUGGAUAUUUAAAUCGGUUUUGGGGCCAUUGACACCAAAAGUCCUCUAACACAAUGAAAAGGAAUUAUUUUGAGAUUAACAAACAAAAAUAACCACCAUUAAUUUAAUUAAUUAAUUAAUAUCUUAUUCUAUGCAUUAUCCGUUACAUAUUUGAAUGCCCUCUUUCAUGGAUAUGACACCACCAACACUGGGGCGUGGGAAUAAUUCUCCAUAUCCAUAUAGGUGGGGGGGCUACACUAGACAUAAAUAGGAAGCAAUGAUUCCAAAGACCAGGAAUAUUCAAUAAACAGUCAGUAAGAGGAAUGACCUCUGCCACAUGAUAACUUAAUGGAUUAUUUAAAAUAACCCUGCCUCGUUAAAUCAAUGAGCUUGAUGUUUUGCUUUCGCGAAUAGGUUAUAGGCUGUGUCACUACCACAUGUCCGUGCGCAUCUCUCAGAGUGACGUAAUCAGCCACCGGACAGCGAUUAAAAAAAAAAAAAGAGUCAUGUUGACUACUAAAGUAACUUAUUAAUUAUUAACCAUUUUCGUCGAUUCGAGGAGGUCUGGUGGUCUGUAUAUAAUAAAUAACUAAAUAAAUAUAUGUUUUUGAGAUCUGCUGAAAAAAACGGGGGAAAUCAGAGUAUCCCUAAUAGGGGAGAGCCGGGUCGAUUGAAACACUUUUCAGUUAAACGUCUUUUUCAAAGAUGAUGUUACGUAUACAAAUAAUUUUAACAUGUGAUCAACAACUCACAGGUGUGUUCUCUUAAUUACAAGUGAAAUUUAAUACAUAUGUUGGAUGAUUGAGCUGUUUUUUUUAACUUUGAACGUAAGUUGACAUUUGUUUCAAACGCCCCGCCUAGUCGGGACGUUUGAAACACACAUGCGGGACGAAUGAAACAGCAUAUUUUAAAAAUAAUCUAUUGCCCGACUACAUUUGCAUUAAAUUUACUUAUUUCCCUUUCCUAAGUCAUGUUUAAGGAUACACAGUUGAACAUCCUUUUAUUUAUUUUAAACGAAAACUACCAGGUCAACAGGAUAUCACGAGACCUGUUACAUCUGAAAUGUAUCCAAGCGCCGCACAGGGUUAAUUUAUUUUCGACACGCACAGCCCGGCGCACAGAAGCAUCCGAAGUCUCUGUGGACAGGUGACACAGGUAGUGUGCACUCCCGUCGGUGCAAGCCUCAUGCGACCACUUGUAGCAAAAGACACACUGGACCCACUCUUCCCCAGGCAUGGAGGCGCUGAAGAGCUCGCAGCACACGAGGCAGCUGACGUCCUCGCUGGAUAGGCCUAAAUAAAUUGGAGAAGUGGAGGCAGCAAUAGUGGUGAACUCUGCUGCCUCCGGAACAGGAUACACUAGGCCUAAGGUGGGGCUGCCUCCAUCAGCGGGCCAGGUGAUGGUGGGAGGAGCAGCUGAGGUGGCACCAGGUGUGACUCCAGCAAGGGGGGCGGCUUCAGGAGCGGGCGAGAAGAGCCUCUUCUUGGGAGCCCGAGAGGAGGGAGGCUGCUUGGCGGGACGACGCUGCUUCACAGUUCCCUGCUUUUCCGCCUCUAAAGCAGCCCUCACCGGGGUGUCCGUCCGGCCUUAGGGUAAGGCCGGACGAUGUCCGGGCUGAAUUCAACGGCAUCUCCCUCAGGCCGGACAGCUUCGUCUGGCCCGGCAGCUUCGUCAGGCCCGGCAGCUCGUUCAGUGGCACCUGGAGAAGCCCUGACCUCGUCAUCCGAAUUGGGGAGGAGGACGGUCUGUUGAAUAGGCUCUGGCGAAGUCCUUUUCCUCAAACGCAGAGGGGUUAAAAGGCCAGAUCCCUGGACUUGAGAACCCGGAGGUGAUGUUGUUCACUGUUGCAGCCUCUGGUAAGGCUUCAGCAACGAUGGAGGGCACAUCAUAAAUUGAGAUGUUGAUCCCUGGGUGGCUCCUCAUCCACCUGUCCGCCGCACUGUUUACGUACCCCUUUAGGGGGCCGAAGACACUAAUGUCCAUUGGCUGCAACCUGCGGGUGCAGUGGGGAGGGAAUGACAGCAGCACUAAAGGUGCGGCCACACCAGACGCGUAUCUCGCGUACUUUUUACGCGAGAUACGCGCGUAAAAUGUUGCAUGACCAUUUUGUGUCAAAAAUGGUCGCAUACGCGCCAUACGCGCCUACGUCACUCGCCUAGAUGAGCCCGCCCAAAACUUUCCCCCGCUCUCGUGGCAUGACACCAUCGUAUAGUGCAGUGCACAACAACCCCAAAACGGCUCUUUUAAGAGCCACCCACA